UCCGAUAUGGUGUAGUGGCUAACAUUACCGCCUCUCAUCGUUAACGGCUUACGUAAGCGUUACAUAAUCGCGGUAGCCCGGGGUUCGAUUCCCCGUGUCGGAA